UAUGGGUGUACCCUGGGUUAUUUUUGGUGUAGAAUCCAAAAAUGACAUAAUAAUUAUAACUUUGUUUAUCCAAAAAAAAGUUAUACUUAUUUUUUGUUAUUUUUUAUUUUAAAUUCAACUAAAAAGUCUGUUUAAGACAAAAUUAACUGUCUAUAAAAUCAUUUGUGGCCUUAUGGGUAUGUUAUACAUACCUCACAGGCUCACAGAUAAGGUGAGUGUUUUUUAUUUAUUAUGGGUAGGAAAGUUUUUGAAAUAGGAUUAUUAGUUGUAAAAUAUCCUCACUUAAAGCUGAAAUGUUAAAACUUAAAUUAAAAAAGAUAGGGAAUCUGAUUCUGAGGGAGGGGGAUGAGGUUAUUAAAAACUGUGCGCAAGAUUUGAAUCUGUUAUUUUUGAAGAGAAGGGUGUUACAUUUUAUUAUGAUCUAUAUUUAAGAGAUUCCCUUGAGGGAGUUGUGAUAAUUUCAAAGGAAAAUAGAUUUCUUUUACUGAAAUAAAAGGAUGGUGCUAGUUAGAGCCCAUACUGAUUUUCCAAAAAUAUAGUAAAAGGGAAUUGAAAUUGAAUCCAAUUUUGGUUUACUAAAGGUAUUCCACCAUAUGAAAGGGGGUAUUUUUUGAGUUAAUAGGGUGUGGGAGGACCUUCAAGUAUUAGUUUAUUGAACUAAAUAAUAAUUAUAAUUUAAAUUAAAAUAAACAACUUCCUGGCCCAUAUCUGUGUAAUAGGAUAGGAAAUAGCUAGAUACCCAAACCAAGUUAAAGACCAAAAAGGCUUUUCUUUUCCAUUAAAAUAAAUAACUUCAAAAUAAAACUAUUUCAAUUUUUUGCACAAAAUUAUAGAUCAGAGAUUCCAAAAUAUAUCUUAACAAACUAUUCAACUUUCUUUUCACACUAUAUAAUCUUCAAAAUCAAAUUUUAUUCCUUCCAAAACUACACUAAUUACCACUAUCAAAAUAAAUCAAUUUUAUCAUUAUUUACAGUUUAUAAUCUGGUACCCUAUAGUAUUUUAAUGGUUAAUACGGGAUUUUGGAAAUUGAAUAAAUUAGGAAUAGUUCUAAUUACAAGAAUAAGGAGAAAGCCUAAAAUAUUGUCUUAUGAUUGGAAUAAUUAUUGAUAAAUAUUCUUUAAAACUAAGGAAAUUAUACUAGAUAUAUUAAAAUAUUAAGAAAAAAUAAUGAUGAAUUUUUGAAUUGAGGUGAGAGAAUUAUUAUCUAAAAGAAUGAUAUACGGGUCCUUGAAUAAGAUAUUAAAAUUAUUACAAAAAAUAAAACAAAAAAAGAUGAGAUGUUUCAAUAAAAUUAAAUGAAACAAACAAAAGGAAAAAAAAAUUAUAAGAAGUCAAAAGUAAAAUAAAAAAGCUAGUGUGGAAUGAUUAUGUAGGGAUGGUUUUUUUUUGAAGCUUUAGCAGUGAUGCUGAGUGAAACUUCCUCUAGUGUAGAUCUUGGUGGAAGUAGCAAAUAUUCAAGUGAGAACCUUGAAGACUGAAGUGGGGAAGGGUUCCAUGGUUACAGUAGUUGGACAUGGGUUAGUCAGUCCUAAAAGAUAGGGAAAGUCUGCCUUAAAGUAUACUCUUGUUAGCAUCACCUAUUGAAAGGGAAUUUAGUUAAAAGUCUACAACUGGGAUACAGAUUUUGAAUGGUAACAUAUAUGAACUCGGUGACAUCUGUAAGGGCCCCAGGAAGAGUUUCUUUCCUACUUAACAAUCUGAAACCCUGGAAAAAAAAUUUUGGAGAUAGGGUUUAAUGAUUGGUAGGACUUUAGAACUCUGUAAAGUCUGGUGUGUCCUUGAGGAGCCUUGAAAAACAAAGGGAUUGAAAAAUUCUUGUACCCAACUGUACCAAUAUCUGUAUCAGAUCCCCAAGGUGAUAAGCCUCUGGUCAGUAGAAUAAUGUAGAUAAGGGAAGUUGGAAAAAUAGAUCUGUAACUUAGGGAAGGGCUUUUUGGGCCCUUAAUAGGUCUUUAAGGAUCUGACUAGGACUACUACUAGGAAACUAGUGGCAGUCUUGUAUGGAGCUUUAUUGUGAUGUUUUGGGCAGCCUUCAAAAGCGUCUGGAAAGAAAUUAACUGGAACGGGCAAGGGGAAUCUCACUGUCCAAUUGAAUCAUAGAAUUGUGAUGGCCAGAAAAUGGUGUUGACACAUUGUGUUUUCUUUCCCAGUUCUCUGAAUGUCAAAGUGAAGAAAUUUAACCAAGUGCAGGUAAACAGCAGGAGUAACUAUGACUCUCUUAAGGUAGCCAAAUGCCUUGUCAUCUAAUUAGUGACAUGCAUGAAUAGAUUAAUGAUAUUCUCACUGUCCCUAUUUACUAUCUAGAAAAACAAAAGCCAAGGGAACAGGCUUGGCAGAAUCAGAGGGGAAAGAAGACCCUGUUGAGCUUGACUCUAGUUUGACAUUGUGAAAAGACAUAGGGGGUGUAGAAUAAGUGGGAGUGUAAGUGCCAGUGAAAUACCACUACCUUUAUUGUCUUUUUACUUAUUCAAUGAAGCAGAGCUGGGAUUAACAUCUCACCUUUUAGAAUCAAGGUCUUUUGUAGGCCAAUCUGGGUUGGAGACAUUUUCAGGUCAGGAGUUUGGCUGGGGAGGCAUAUCUGUUAGAUAAUGAUGCAGGUGUCCUAAGGGGGACUCAUUGAGAACAGAAAUCUGAAGUAGAACAAAAGGGUAAAAGUCCCCCUGAUUUUGAUUUUAAGCUUGAAUACAAACCAUGAAAGUGUGGCCCAUUGCUCCUUUAGUCCUUCAGAGCUUAAAUGUAGAGGUGCCAGAAAAGUAACCACAGCAAUAACUGGCUUGUGGAAGCCAAGCGUUCAUAGAGACAUUGCUUUUUGAUCCUUUGAUGUCGGCUCUUCCUAUCAUACUGAAGUAGAAUUCAGUAAGCAUUGGAUUGUUCACCCACUAAUAGGGAACAUGAGCUGGGUUUAGACCAUUGUGAGACAGGUUAGUUUUACCCUACUGAUGGAAAGUCAUUGUAAUAGUAAUUGAACUUAGUAAAAGAGGAACCGUUCAUUCAUGUAAUUGGUAUUUACACCUUUUUGGAAUGACAAUGAUGUGAAGCUACCAUGUGUUGGAUUAUGGCUGAAUGCCUUUAAGCCAUAAUCCAUGCUAGAAACAAUUAUAUUGUCACAUACAUCAAAGAUGUGUUGAUAUAGAGAAUAUGCUUGUGUACCAUGAGCUGUGGGUUUCCUAGCCAAGUGGAAAGACUUGGAUAGUGCUAUCACUUAUCUUGAAUGAAAUAUGU
rnacentral:rRNA from 1 species